GCUUACUAGCUCAUUUCCCCAAUUUCUGCCUUAUUAUCCUAAAAAAAAUAAAAAAAAAAUGGGUCAAAAAUCAGUUGCUGUUGGGCUAAAGAUUCUAAUUAAUCAGAAGAAGAUUUGUCAAGGCAAAGCAGUUUUAAUUAUGUAUAGUUCAAGAUUCACCAAAGUGAAACCCAUCUUCCACACAAAUCCUACUCAAUCUAUCAGUAUUCAACAUAAUAAUUGUUGCUUCCUCAAAUAUUGUUUCCUUUGCAAUAAGACCUUGAGACUCGACAAAGAAGUUUACAUGUACAAGGGUGAUCUUGGAUUUUGCAGUGUAGAGUGUAGAAACAGGCAGAUUUAUUUGGAUGAAAUAAAAGAACUUGAGACUUGUACUAAAAGUAUGUUACGAUCUUUUCGCCGAUGUGGAGACGAUAACCGCCGGCGGUGUAGUGAGACUUCGGCUCUACUGGAGGAAUACAAUCAACGGCGAAAUCCCAUAGCAUAUUCUAAGAAAAAUACUCGACCUAUAUUCACAUUGUCAUAAUUCGAAUUUGUUUUGCUUUAUUCUCAAAUUCUUUUAUUGAUUCCAAUAAAAUUAUUGAAGAAUAUAG
rnacentral:misc_RNA from 1 species